AUGUGGAUCAAGGCUGGAGGAUGACAAGCUCCUGACUGAUAGAUACAUGGAGACUUCGCUGGUGAUUUAUUGGCUUUCUGCACCUGACGAGAACCACUAGGCCUAUCUGAGGAGGGAAAUAUAUGGGCUUUCCUGACUCCAAGUGGCAGCCCCGGGGCGAGCAUGUGAUGUCAAGCUGGGCAGAGGAAAGCGGAGCUGUGCACCGGCCUGUGUACUGUAAGCCGGCCCGGGUCGUAAAAGUGUCAGCACGCGAUAUAUUUCUUGCAGGGGAUCCUCUCUGGCUCUUGCCAGCGCCUCUCCCCCGUGGCUGGCAGCCGCCCUAGCCGGGCCUGCAAACAGCGGAUGCCCCAGGUCGCUAUCCCUCCGCCCUGCCCCGGAGCGCCGGGCCCUCACGUUCUCGCUCCAGCCUGGGGUCUCUCACGUGGCAUCUGGCCCUGGGGACGGUGCAGCGGAGGAGUUAAUUGCUGUCACUCCUGACUUCAGCGAAAGAGGUCGAUCGUGGGGCUUCUUCCUCGGGGUUAGCAGGGGCCUGGAGUGGAUGUUUAGUCUACCGGUCAGACUCCAGGUCUUAUAUCUUGAAACUGUAAGUCCCUGAAUUCACAGACAAUUCAGAGUAAGGAUGGAGGCAAAGAAGAGGACCUUGGGUUUACUGUUCACGAGAUGACCUCAUAAAGGUGUUCAGUGAUGAAGAGGAGUGGCUGAAGAGGUAAGGAGAACACUCAAAGCAACAACAGCAAAACGUACAGUAUGAAGGGGGUAGUCAUAAGGUCAGUCCAUAACCCUGCCAGCAUCAUCCAGAUAGAAGUGGAUCUGCUAUCCCUCCCCACACCUGACUUCACUACCUGCACACCCACAAGCAGGGCAGCACUAGCCCCCAGUGCUCUUCUGUGCAUAUUAGAGUCUUCCCUGGAGGGCUCAGUACCUUGCUGGGACUCAUGGCAUGGGGAGCAGAACCCAGGCUGAAUUUCAGUCCCUACAAGGUUUUAAGUACAGGGAUCAGCCUGCACAACCGAAUGGGAGGCCCGGCCCUCAUCUGCCCUUCUGUAACUUGUCUUUCCCUGCCAGGCCUCCCUCGGAGCUCAUUGUUGAAAUCUGGCAUCCAGAGCUAUGGAUUCCCCGCUCUGCCAUUUACAAACUGUAUGAUUAGGGCUCAUCAGUUCAUCUCUCUGAGUUACUUUCUUUUCUGAAAUGGAGGUAGGGCUACUUCUCUCACAUGGCUUUAUGAGGGUGAAGUGGUUUCCAAUGAGCACUCAUCUGGAUAUUCUAGGCCCAUCCACUCACAUAGCUAAUGACACUCCUUCUUUACAAGAUGAAGGAUUAGGAGAUGAUUUUAAAUCUUUUAGCUGGAAGGGCCUUUAAGAGAUACCUGUGUCUGUCUUGGGCCUUAGAGUGAGUAAAGGGACAGCAGGUGGUCAGGCCCUGCCAACAGCAGGAUAUUUUCUGCAGGUGCCCAACAGCAGCCCUGGAGUUGCCUCAGAUCCUCCCACUGGAGGCUUCAUUGCUGUAUCUGCCAUUCCAUCCCUGGCAGGGAUAGGCCAAGGUCUUAGAUACCCUGGCACCCAACACUCCAUACAGGCUUGUCUCUGAGCAGACUCUCGGUGAAGGCUAUUGUGCUAGUCUGAGCAGAACGGGAGGUGCAGGGAUUGCAGCUGUUCCUUCACUGCAGUGUCAGUUUGGAAAUUUUCCCAGAAGACUUAGCUGGUGCCUCUUCUUUGAUAUUCAUGAGUGUGUGAACACAACGACCCUCCUCAUCUUUGUCGAACCCAUUCCUCUUGGACCACACCAAGUAUAGUCCAAAAAGAAGGUGAUUUAGGAGAAGUGUGAAGGCACCCUCAGUUCUGGCAAAUUCUUGGGUAUCCUGCAAUUCUCACUCAGCAGCAUCCCAACAAAACCAGAGAAAAGACCCGGGGCCGGGAGAUGAGCCAGGAAAAUAGCUUCAUGUUUGACUUGAGGGUACAGGCAUCUGCAGAAGCCAGCCUGGAAGACUCUUCAUGAGCCCAGCUGCAAGGGGCAUCCUAGAGCCAGUUCAUGAGCCCAACUUUACAGAGGCAUCAAGCUUCCCCUCCCCUAGAAAGGAAGGCUAUAGAGCAAGCAGAAUGUUUAAGACACAGGCUUUCAAGUGAGGCUGACUUGGAUUAGCGGAACUAAGGAUGACGUGGCCCUGUGCAAGGAACUUAAUAUCUCUGGGCUUCAUUCUUUAUCUGUUUACCUACCCCCAGGUCCUGAAAGUACCACAGAAAUAUCUGUUUUUAUUCAGAGGAUAAUAAAACAGAAUAUUUACAUAUUGCUUCAUAUUCCCCCAGGAUAUUUUUAGAUUACCACAAUAUCCUAAGAGUUUGUUUAUGCAUGCUUUAUAGACCUGUAUCUGUGGUUAAAAAAGAUACAUAAAUACUUUAAAAUUUUAUAAUACAAGAGUAUAAGUUACCUGAUUUUUUAUGUGUUCCGCAGAUGGCUGUCUAGAGUCAACACAAACCUACCCCAAAGUUUGACCUUUGCCUUAAGUCAGUAACUGAGGAGGGCCACGGUCCUGAGUUCAGUCCAGACCCCAGGAAGAUUCAGAGCCUGCAGUUGUCCUCUGGUUUCUAAAGUAUGUUAUUGGGCUAAAGAUUUCAAGACAUUUAUCCUUCUUUGCUUUCUAUCGCAGCCAUUAAAUGUUUUAGAUAUUUUCUGCCAGAAGGCAGGAAUCAUGAAGAUAACAAAUAUUAAAGACAAAACCAAAUAACUUUUAAUGAGAAGGUCAGUCCGUGGUUUGAGUCUUUGGAAAGAAAUCAAGAACUCUGACUAUACUUGCUAUUUGACCAUUGAUUCUCUAGUGGAAAUGGGCAAAUCUUUUAUACCAGGGCAAAUUUUUCAGUAACGGGCCAGACAGCAAAUAUUUUAGGAAUUGUGGGCCAUACAGUCUCUCUCCCAACUACUUAACUCUUCAGCAUAGCAUAAAAGCAGCCAUAAACAAUACUACAACAAGUAUGGCUGCAUUCCAAUAAAACUUUAUUUACAAAAAUAGGCAGCACGCCAGAUUUGGCCCACAAGCUAUAGCUUUCUGACCCCUGCUUUGCCAAACUCAAUAACAAACAGAGAGGGAGACUCUUUUAAAAAAAUUAUAUUCAUUUGGGAGUAGCAUUGCAAUGGGAAUACGUGUGCCAUAGCAAAUUAUGAGCGUAUUCAAAGAGAUUGGGGCAAGGGGAAGUUUAUAAAGGCAAAACGAAGAGGAUUACAAUUGUUCAAAUCAAUUAUCCUUGGCUACAAGGGUGGCACAAGUCCAAGCUUGAACAGGCAGUUGCUAGACAGACAUCCUUACAGAAGUAUUUUCUGUGUAAGGUUGCAGUGGUCUUUUUGCAAAGCUAUAGUAAAUCACAGGGGUCAGUACAACCGUAGUGCAAUGGAUAAGCCUUGCCCUCGGAAAAUCUUCGUGAUCAUGGUAUCUCCCCUGCCAAAUAAAUAUUGUGACAGUUCUUAUCAGGCAUUCAUGUGUAAGAACUCUCCCUUGAUGGCCUUCCCUGGCUCCAUUUGCCAGGGUUUUAACAUAAAUUACUCCAUUUUGAUUCGGACAACUUUCAUAACUGCUUACCAUCUGUGCCUCUGUGUAUAAAAGUGGACAUACUAAAAUUUUUCCUUAGGGCUACAACUAAACAUCCAGCCUAGCCCUUAGCCAGCACCAAGGAAGAGGCCUGGGGGAUAGAGGAACAAAUAAUGAGACCAAGUCAGGCCAUCCCCCAUGGGGUGAGGCCUGCAGGUAGGUGGGCCCAGUGUGGUGUACCUCUAGCACAGUGCCUGGCACAAAAUUGCAGUUUAUUUUCUGAAUAAAUAACUCUUGGAUCAAUUGGUUGCUCUCUGGGAAUGUGACUUUGCUGUUGAGUUGUGCAGAGUACUCUCUGUCUCCAAGCCAAUCCCAGCUUCAGUAUCUCACCCCACAAUCCACAUUUCCCAGUGUCUGGAGUAACAACAAUGACCUGGGGCUGGGCUCUCAGCAAGUCAAACCCUGCCUCAACAAACCCAAACUGCUUUGGGGACCAAUGUGAUGCAAAUGUGUACUGAAUCCCCUGAAUUCCCCCUGGUGAUCCUGUCCUGUAACAGGCCCUCCCCAUCCCCUCAGGCCAGUGCAUUCAGGAAAUCAGUGACCACAGGAUGGUUUCUCAGCUGGAGGGAAGGUCAGCCUGCAUCUGAGCAUCUUAGAACAUGUUAUUUUGUUCCCACUGGUCAAUCCCGUCCAAGCUGUACACAUAGUGCCUAAGCCACGUUUGUUACUGCAGGCCUGUCUUCGGAAAGGUCACUGAACAGAAGGAGGAGGCACCUUACUCUCUUUUGUUACGUCUUCACCACUUUUGUCUAAAGGGAAGUUUAGCUGGAGGGCUGAGCACGCAGACAGGUUUCUGACUGUGCCACAUAGAUCCCACAUUGCUUCUCUGCCAUGAUUUAUCAUCUGUGACUUGACAUGUUCUGCACACACGGGCAUGUUGUACACAUUGAGACAUGCUUCCUGCAUUCAAAGAUUUUCCCAUAUUGAGGGCAUUUUCCUGGUGCAGAAUUGAAGACUGAAUUGAGGCAUUCAGAUUGACCUCAACAUCUACGGGUCUGGAGGAGGUUUGGGACGUUUCCUUUUCUUCUCUUCAGGGGCCCACUCCUGUUGUAAAGAGCAGCAGCAUUUAUAAUGAGGGCCCAGGAAAUGCGGGGGAGAGGGGAGAGCCUGCUAUCUCUGCAGUGGGUGACUGUUGUUUCCCUGAUCAACAAUGUAUCAUAUCCCAGCCUAAGCCUGCCUUUCUCCUUCCCCCUCCACAUGGGGAGGGGCCGUGGGCUCAGAGCUCACCUGGAAUGCCUCUGGUUGCUGAAGGGCUGGAUGGAGACUCUGAGACAACCUGAUGGAUCAUCUCAUAAACAGAGCCUGCAGGAAGGAAAAGAAAAUUAUGCCAGCAUAAUGCACUUACGAGAAAUAGAUACGUGCGGUGCAGGGAGAAAUGCUUUGAUAUUAAAAUUUUUGUAACUUAAAAAGGCAUGAAAAAUGAUACCGACCACUAACUAAUCAACAUUCCUUUGCGAAUACAGCUUCAGUUCCUAACCAAAAACACAUCCCUGCUAUUGUCUUGUCUGGAUCCAGAUGCAAACAUGAUUAAUUAAGUUUCUGGUGAGGAGUGGGACGAGGGCAGUGGGAACUGAUGGCUUGCUGAGGAUCCUUUUCAUAUACAGGCCUGGGGAGAAUCCCUUAGUCUGGGUGCCUAUUUCCCUCCACAUGUCAGGGCUUACCCCGUGCACUGACAGCCACGGGGGCAGUGAGUAGGCUGCAGCCAGACCCAUGGAGUGAGGCAGUGAGAGGCUGAAAGGAGAGGCUCUACAGACAGUACAGGGAGGCUCUUGGUAUCUCCCAUUGCCACUGCACAGCACAGCACGGCAGAGUAGCAAACGCAUAUGCCAUGUCUUGUUGGGAGACCUGGGCCCUGCUCCAGACUGCUACCAAGUAGUUUGGGACCUUGGAUGAGCUGCCUCAAUUUCUCCAUUUGUGAAAUUGGGAGGUGACAGCGUGCUGGCAGCCCUCGCAGCCCUCGCUCUCGGCCUUGGUGCCUGCCUACUCUGGCCGCCCUUGAGGAGCCCUUCGGCCCACGGCUGCACUGUGGGAGCCCCUUUCUGGGCUGGCCAAGGCUGGAGCCAGCUCCCUCAGCUUGCCGGGAGGUGUGGAGGGAGAAGCGCGGGCAGGAACCAGGGCUGCUCAUGGGGCUUGCCGGCCAGCGCGAGUUCUGGGUGGGCAUGGGCUCAGUGCCUGCGCACUCUGAGCGGCCGGCAGGCCUGCGAACCCCGGGCAGUGAGGGGCUUAGCUCCUGGGCCAGCAGCUGCUGUGCUCAAUUUCUCGCCGGGCCUUAGCUGCCUCCCCGCGGGGCAGGGCUCGGGACCUGCAGCCCACCAUGCCUGAGCCUCCUCCCGCCGUGGGCUCCUGUGUGGCUGGAGCCUCCCCGAGGAGCACCGCCCCCUGCUCCACCGCUCCCAGUCCCUCAACCACCCAAGGGCUGAGGAGUGCGGGCGCAUGGCACGGGACUGGCAGGCAGCUCCACCUGCGGCACCGGUACCGGAUCCACUGGGUGAAGCCAGCUGGGCUCCUGAGUCUGGUGGGGACUUGGAGAACCUUGGUGUAGACACUCUGUAUCUAGCUAAUCUAGUGGGGAUGUGGAGAACUUUUGUGUCUAGCUAAGGGAUUGUAAAUACACCAGUCGGCACUCUGUAUCUAGCUCAAGGUUUGUAAACACACCAAUCAGCACCCUGUGUCUAGCUCAGGGUUUGUGAAUGCACCAAUGGACACUCUGUAUCUGGCUACUCUGAUGGGGACUAGGAGAACCUUUGUGUCUAGCUCAGGGAUUGUAAACGCACCAAUCAGCACCCUGUCAAAACGGACCAUUCAGCUCUCUGUAAAACAGACCAAUCGGCUCUCUGUAAAAUGGACCAAUCAGCAGGAUGUGGGUGGGGCCAGAUAAGAGAAUAAAAGCAGGCUGCCCCAGCCAGCAGGCACAACCCUCUCGCCUCACCUGCCGCAGUGUGGAAGUUUUGUUCUUUGGCUCUUUGCAAAAAAUGUUGCUGCUGUUCACUCAUUGGGUCUACACUACCUUUAUGAGCUGUAACACUCACUGGGAAGGUCUGCAGCUUCACUCCUGAAGCCAGCGAGACCACGAACCCACCGGGAGGAACAAACAAUUCCAGACGCGCCGCCUUAAGAGCUGUAGCAGUCACGGCCGGGCACGGUGGCUCACGCCUGUAAUCCCAGCACUUUGGGAGGCCGAGACGGGCGGAUCACGAGGUCAGGAGAUCGAGACCAUCCUGGCUAACACGGUGAAACCCCGUCUCUACUAAAAAUACAAAAAAAAUUAGCUGGGCAUGGUGGCGCACGCCUGUAGUCCCAGCUACACGGGAGGCUGAGGCAGGAGAAUGGCGUGAACCCGGGAGGCGGAGCUUGCAGUGAGUCGAGAUCGCGCCACUGCACUUCAGCCUGGGCGACAGAGCGAAACUCCGUCUCAAAAAAAAAAAAAAAAAAGAGCUGUAGCAGUCACAGCAAAGGUAUGCAGCUUCACUCCUGAGUCAGCGAGACCAGGAACCCACCACAAGGAAGAAACUCCGAACACAUCCGAACAUCAGAAGGAACAAAUUCUGGACACGCUGCCUUUAAGAACUGUAACACUCAGCGCGAGGGUCCCCUGCUUCAUUCUUGAAGUCAGUGAGACCAAGAACCCACCAAUUCCAGACACAAAAGGAGAGGUUGGAUUAAAUGUUCCUCAAAGUCUUCCAUUUCUGGCUUUUUAUUCCAGUGCCCAAAGUCCUUCACACAAAGCAGGUGUCUUAUCAGUUGAUUGGUCAGGCAUGGCCACUAUUUUUGGCCGUGGGCAAAGGAGUCUGGUGGGGACGGGGCUGAGAAGUAUGCUAGGUGAGUGUCUCUGGCACAAAUGGCUGAGCUGCAGAGCCCCAAGCGGCAUGGCAGGGACCAGGAGACCCGAUUCCUGAUCUGCCGCAGUUAACCUGGUGACUAUGAGUGAGACACACAACUGCUCUCCAUCUCAGUGUCCCCAUUAGGAAACAGAAACACCAGGCCCAACCUACCCAAGUGUGUCAGGAAACUGAGAACUGCUCUGGUCUCAUGCUGGGACGGUGGCACAGUACACCAAGUGGUAUCUUCUCCCAAAGUCUGCUCCUGUGGUAGGAGUCAUAGGUCAUUGAAGUACACUAUAAUUGAGUGGUUAAGGUGGUGAGAUCCAAAGUCAGGCUGCCUGCAUUCAGAUCAUCCAGCAUCCUAACCAUUAGGCAAGUUACAGAACUCCUUUGGGCCUUGACUUUAUCUGUAAAAUGGGAAUAAUAAUCACAGAGCAUACCUCAUGGGAUUAUUAUGAAGAUUAAACACGUUAAAAACUUAAAAAUGCUUCUAAUUAUGCCUGGCACGUUCAGCAGGUAUUACAUAGGUGUUAGUUUUGUUACUGCCAACCUCUCUCAAGCUUUGGGUGCCCACCAAAUGUCCCUUUAGUGUGCACAGACUUGUGUCUUCUUCCAGGAGAGGGUAAGGAAAGCUGCCCAAACUUUCAGCUGCAUGGAACAAGUACCUUCAUUCAUUCAUUUCCAGGACAGAGAUCUCCGAGUGCCCACAAGGUACCAAGCCCUAUGCUUUGGAGGGUCAACGUGACUUUCCACCUUGGCUACCACCUGCAUCCACCAGGAGAGCACACAGUGGGUGCCUUCCCUGCAUGGUGAACAGGAGCAGCCUUGUGUAUGAGUGAAAGAGUUUUAUAAGGCCAGCUGGACCCCAGGGUGGUGCCGUGCCAGGUAUAACGCCAGAAGCUUCCCAUCAUACUUUAAGACUCUAGUGAGGGGAUUUGAGCCAGAGCCAAGACUAGGAUUUAGUGAGCUAUUUGAUUGGAGGUUUCGCUGCCUCCAUCUAAAGCCAAUUGAUUCCACUAGUGGUUUACCCUUUCUCAACAUCAGCUGUGACUGGCUGAUUUUUUAAGAUUACUAUCCACACCCUCUCAAACAUUAGAACAAUGAAUUUCCCAGUUCAAGUUCUAUAUUUUCUCAAUUCCAGAGGAAAGAAAAUGACUACUACAUGUGUGUGAUUUUGUCCCUGGGAGCAUCUAUGAAAUAUGCAGCAUUCUCUUUCUAGCUGGGAAAUCACUUUAAAAAUACUAUCUCUAAUUCAUCUUCAUGUUUUCGACAGGGAGUUUGUUAUUCCCGUUUCCCAGAUGGAGUAACUGAGAGCAGAGUCAGGAGACAGCUUGCUCAAGGACCUAGAACAACAGAAUGAUUUGGUGGUGGGGCCAAGAUUGAGUUCUUAUUUCCUGCCUCUCAAUCCAUUGCAACCCAGGAAUGACCUUUCUGGGCAAUGUUAGAAACAUGACCAUAUGAAAUGGAGAAUUUAGAUUACAAUUCCCUGGACCAUAUCCAGGACACUAAAAUGAGUGUGUUGCACUUGUGAAAUGCAUUCUAAGAAUUGUUUACUGUUCUGAAUGUAAGUUAGGAUGAAGCAGAUCUUCUACGGAGGCUCCAGGCUAAUCCCAGCUUCCCUCCCCACCCAAGCCCCGUGGACAAUGACUUGCAAUCCAUGUCAACAAAGAUUUAACCCUUACAGUGUGCAGGGGACUGCUGGGCUGGAUGUUUAUAAACAAACCAAGAUAAGACGGAACCUCCCUUGAAAGAACGGCAUGAGGAUGAAUACAAAAAUGAAAUGUCAGGCCCCAGCCUGUACAUAAACAGCCUUGUAUAUGUGAGUGGCAUGUCCCAUGCUCCAGCUGACCUAUCAGGAAGCCUAGGGACAGUAGCAAUACUUUUAGCAGCUGUGGCAGGCCUCCUCUCUGCAUUCUAGAGUGGCUCCCACUCCCCUCCAAUUUCAAAUGACUCCUUAUUUCAGGCUGCUUCUCUUGCCCUGGGACUUGGCCUUGUUGUUUGCGCUUUGGUUUUCCCUGCAUUUUGUUCUCAAGGCCUCGGGUUUGGACUCACCCCCCUCCCAACUCCACCAUUCUUCUAAGCCAAAACUGAUCUGAGGUCCCCUUUUAAAAAAUUUGACACAAUUUAACAGACAUGUGUUGAGUGUCCAAGAGAUACAAAUACACUAUAAUUUGCAUAUCACUCAAUAACAAGAAUGAUACUGUUUUCAAGGAAUUUAUAAUUUAAUAGGAUGAGAAAAGAACUCAUUAGGUUUCUUUCAAAAAAAAAUGGAGGAAAAAUACCUCUUGGCCACAUGCAUAUUUGAACAAAGGCAGAAGCUUGCCCAAAUUCUUUCUAGAAAUAACUGUGUUGGUUGAAGGUGGGUGGAAAAGAGGAUAAAGGCAUGGUAAACAUGGGAUGUAUUUCAGUUCCAUGGUGGACUGAAUGAAAACGUUUACAGAUGUUGAUACAUGUUUGCUUGCUUUUUCAAUUACAGUGAAGCAAAGUUCUAUCAACAGAUGUUGCCCAGGGCCAAUGCAGACAGAACCAACCAUAGAGAAAGAGAGCAUUAAGAUUAUUGUAUUAGUCAGUUUGGGCUGCCACAAAAAAUACUAGCCUAGGUGGCUUAAACAAUAUAAAUUUAUUUUCUCACAGUGUUGGAAGCUGGAAGUCCAAGAUCAAAGUGUCAGCAUGGUUGGUUUCUGGUGAGGGUGUCUUCCUGGCUUGUAGACAGCACCAACAUGCUGCAACCUCACAUCGCAGGGAGAGAGACAGCACAAGAGAGAGCAAACACUGGUGUCUCUUCUCAUAAGGGCACCAGUCCCAUCAUGAAGGCCCCACUCUCAGGACUUCAUGUAACACUAAUUACCUCCCAGAGGCUCCACUUCCAAAAACCAUCAUAUCGUGGGCUAGGACUUUAGCAUGUGAAUUUUG
rnacentral:lncRNA from 1 species